UGCUAAUUCUGUUGUACACAAAUCACUAAACUAAAUUGUCACAAUCAAAUCUAGUGCCAUUCUCUUCCUCAAGGAGCAUUAUGCAAGGGACAGCAAUAGAUUUAGACCUGCCAUUUUGAUUUAGUUUAGAGAUUAUAUACAACAGAAUUAGCCACAAUAUUACUUAUACUAACAAACUUAAAAUAUUAUUUUU